GCUGGGUGUGGUGGCGCACACCUGUAGUCCUAGCUACUCGGGAGGCUGAGGCAGGAGAAUCACUUGAACCCAGGAGACGGAAGCUGCAGUGAGUCGAGAUUGUGCCACUCACUGCACUCCAGCCUGGGCAACAGAGUGAGACUCUGUCUCAA
rnacentral:SRP_RNA from 1 species